GUGUGGUGGUUCAGUGGUAGAAUUUUUCCCUUCCACGAAGGAGACCUGGGAUCAAUUCCCAACCAGCACA
rnacentral:tRNA from 1 species